AACUGAAGAGUUUGAUCCUGGCUCAGAUUGAACGCUGGCGGUAUGCUUAACACAUGCAAGUCGAACGCGAAAAUACCUUCGGGUAUGAGUAGAGUGGCGGACGGGUGAGUAACGCGUAGGAAUCUACCUAGUAGUGGGGGACAACUACCGGAAACGGUAGCUAAUACCGCAUACGCCCUACGGGGGAAAGCGGGGGAUCUUCGGACCUCGCGCUAUUAGAUGAGCCUGCGUCGGAUUAGCUAGUUGGUAGGGUAAUGGCCUACCAAGGCGACGAUCCGUAGCUGGUCUGAGAGGAUGAUCAGCCACAUUGGGACUGAGACACGGCCCAAACUCCUACGGGAGGCAGCAGUGGGGAAUAUUGGACAAUGGGCGAAAGCCUGAUCCAGCAAUACCGCGUGUGUGAAGAAGGCCUGCGGGUUGUAAAGCACUUUCAGUAGGAAGGAAAAGCCUACAGAAGAAGCACCGGCUAACUCCGUGCCAGCAGCCGCGGUAAUACGGAGGGUGCAAGCGUUAAUCGGAAUUACUGGGCGUAAAGCGUACGUAGGCUGUUAGGUAAGUCAGAUGUGAAAGCCCUGGGCUCAACCUGGGAACUGCAUUUGAUACUGCCUGGCUAGAAUCUGGUAGAGGGUAGCGGAAUUCCACGUGUAGCAGUGAAAUGCGUAGAUAUGUGGAGGAACAUCAGUGGCGAAGGCGGCUACCUGGACCAAGAUUGACGCUGAGGUACGAAAGCGUGGGGAGCAAACGGGAUUAGAUACCCCGGUAGUCCACGCCGUAAACGAUGUCAACUAGCCGUUGGGUUCUUUUAUGGACUUAGUGGCGCAGCUAACGCGAUAAGUUGACCGCCUGGGGAGUACGGUCGCAAGAUUAAAACUCAAAGGAAUUGACGGGGGCCCGCACAAGCGGUGGAGCAUGUGGUUUAAUUCGAUGCAACGCGAAGAACCUUACCAGC
rnacentral:rRNA from 1 species